rnacentral:rRNA from 1 species
AUUGAAGGCACCAAGAGGCAAUCUAGAAGGCUUGGAAAUGGAAACACAUUCAGAUUUGAGGCGAAAUGGUUGGAAGAAGAAGAAUGUGAAGAUAUUGUCACCAAUACCUGGAACACUCCAAAUAUCAGAAGCGGUGGCAAUGUGGCUCAAGGCAUCAAAAGUGUUUCCAGGGACCUAAAAGCCUGGGAUGCAAAUGUACUAGGAGACCUUCAACGGAGAAUAAAGAAGUUAAAAGAGGAGCUAGAAAUAGUCACAAGAAGUGAAAUAAAUCAAGACAAAGUCGAUCGGGAGCAUGUACUGAAGGAUAAGCUGGAUCGACUAGAGAAGCAACACAACCUUUUCUGGAGGCAAAGAGCCCAUGUUAAAUGGCUGCAAUUUGGAGAUAAAAAUACGGCUUUCUUCCACGCGUGUGCAUCUGAUAGAAAAAAAUGUAAUACCAUCCAAAAGUUGAAGAAAGAAGAUGGGACUUGGGUAGAAGAGGCAGAGCAACUAAAUGAAUAUAUUUCAAAUUAUUACCUUAAUAUAUUUACCUCGGCGGCAAGGCACGACAAUAACACAAUUCUGCAAUCGAUUCAACCUAGAGUAACUGAUGAAAUGAAUGAGUUGCUUUGUGCAGAAUAUACUGAAGAAGAGGUGAGAGCUGCCCUGAAUAAUAUUGGUGAUCUAAAGGCCCCGGGACCUGAUGGCAUGCCUGCAAUCUUUUUUAAGAGAUUCUGGAACACUGUAGGGGAACAAGUAACAAAGGAAGUGCUCAAGGUGUUGAGAGGUGGGGAGAUGCCCGAAGAAUGGAAUAAUACCAUAAUAGUUCUGAUCCCAAAAAUGCCUAAACCAGCGAGACUGAAUGACUUACGACCCAUCAACCUCUGCAACGUAGUCUAA